UUCCUCUGCAUUUCAUUUGCUGUUCCCUGGCCUGCAAUGCCCCUUCCUUCCCACCUCCCCCGAGGGCCUAGCAGCCCCUCCUACACAGCCCUCUAGCCCCUCUGUGCUCAAAGUGCAUCUGAGGACAUCACCUGAGAGCUGUAGGAGAUGCAGGAUCUCAGGCCCCACCCCAAACCUACUGAAGCCAAAUCUGCUGUUUAACGUGAUCCCUGGAGAUUCAUAAGCAUGUUGUCUGUGCAGCACGGAGUGAGGGGCGGCUCCUCUUCGCUGCACCCCUUCCUGAUUACCCCUAGGCCCAGCCAAAUAAACUCUUCUUCCUGCUCCCUUGUGCCCCAUUUGGACUUCACUCGUAACAAGGGAGUAUAACUGGAUGGUAAAAGGGACUUUUCCUGUUAUCUAGACAUUUCAGCAGAGGCCUCAAAGGCAGAACAAAAUAGUGCAAGGAGCCGCACAUCCGCACAGUGCUGAGACCCUGCCCAGGACAAGCUUGACAAAAAAGAAGAAAAUUGGGUCUUGUUAUGUUGCCCAGGCUGGUCUCCAACUCCUGGCCUCAAGUGAUCCUCCCAGCUUGUCCUUCCAAAGUGUUGGGAUUAUAGGUGUGAGCCACUGUGCCUGGCCAUGUCUGAAUGUUGAAUGUUGACAGCUUCAGUGAAUUGACCCCUCUUUCACCUAUGGGACUUAUGAAGAGAGAAUCUUUCUGGCAUUGCAUAAUCCUUCCCAAGAGUACUUUAGCUGUGGUAACCCUUCUUGUUAUAAAACAUGCCAGGCCGCAGUAUUCCCUUUGGCACCCCCACCCACCUGGAACAAAGCCUGAUGUAAAGUCUGGGUGCGACUCAGACCGGCCUGGGAAAGAAUUUAUUUAAUAAAUGGUGGAAAGUGGCUUCCUUGACGUGUCUUCGAUGGCUUUUUUAUAAAGCAUUUGGUUUGUCUACUCGUCUGUUUUUGCGCCAUCUCUUUCCACAAAGAUGGCUUAUAGCAGGGAUACUUACAACAAAAUGAUGCUGGGAAAACAAAAACAAAGAAGUAGAGAAUUAGGCCUGAGAAAACUAGGAGUAGAGAGUCACGAUUAGAUACAGAGGAGCAUAGAUGUGUAGUCUAGGAAGGCCAACUAAUUGUUAUAGCUGAAAUUCAAAUUCAGUUAGCUAAAAUGUUCCUAGUGUCAAAGGAAGAAUGGGCCACACAGUUGCAUAAUCCUUAGUAUUAGGGAGAAGGAAAAGGUUCCAGUUAUUCAGAGGGAUGUUCUCUUGCCUUAUUCCUUUAAUAAGUAUCUGUUAAAGGCCCACCAUGUGCCAAGCACCAUGCCCGGCAAGCACUGCACUCACCCCCCAGGAACUCAGUGUCUAAAGGAGACUGGGUGAAAGAACUAUAUUUGUGUGCCUAUGAUGUGUCAAAUACUAUGCAUUUAGUUAUGCAGUUACUGUAUGUUAGACACUAUGCAUUUAAUUAUUUACCUGCUGUAUAUCAGACACCAUGCAUUUUCAUUUAACCCUCAUAAGCACUUACAUCAAGUAGACACUGUUACCUCUUUUUUACAG
rnacentral:lncRNA from 1 species